GAUCUGCUCAGAACGAACGCUGGCGGCAGGCUUAACACAUGCAAGUUGAACGGGAUUUGUGUGGUGCUUGCACCAUAUAAUGAGAGUAGCGCACUGGUGAGUAACACGUGGGAACGUGCCUUUUAGUGGGGGAUAACAUCUGGAAACGGAUGCUAAUACCGCAUACGCCCUGAGGGGGAAAGAUUUAUUGCUAAGAGGUCGGCCCGCGGUAGAUUAGGCAGUUGGUGGGGUAAAGGCCUACCAAACCUACGAU
rnacentral:rRNA from 1 species